rnacentral:sRNA from 1 species
UUGGCAUCAAUAUGGUGACCUCCAGCGAGUGGGUCCAGUGAGUGGGGACCCCCAGAUUGCCUAAGGAGGGAUGAAUCGGUCCAGAUUGGAAACAGAGCAGGUCAAAACUCCCAUGCAAA